rnacentral:rRNA from 1 species
ACUUAAAUUGAAGAGUUUGAUCAUGGCUCAGAUUGAACGCUGGCGGCAGGCCUAACACAUGCAAGUCGAACGGUAGCACAGAGAGCUUGCUCUCGGGUGACGAGUGGCGGACGGGUGAGUAAUGUCUGGGAAACUGCCUGAUGGAGGGGGAUAACUACUGGAAACGGUGGCUAAUACCGCAUAACGUCGCAAGACCAAAGAGGGGGACCUUCGGGCCU